rnacentral:rRNA from 1 species
AGAGCGAACGCUGGCGGCAGGCCUAACACAUGCAAGUCGAGCGCCCCGCAAGGGGAGCGGCAGACGGGAGAGUAACACGUGGGAACGUACCCUUUGGUUCGGAACAACACAGGGAAACUUGUGCUAAUACCGGAUAAGCCCUUACGGGGAAAGAUUUAUCGCCAAAGGAUCGGCCCGCGUCUGAUUAGCUUGUUGGUGAGGUAACGGCUCACCAAGGCUACGAUCAGUAGCUGGUCUGAGAGGAUGAUCAGCCUCACUGGGACUGAGACACGGCCCAGACUCCUACGGGAGGCAGCAGUGGGGAAUAUUGGACAAUGGGCGCAAGCCUGAUCCAGCCAUGCCGCGUGGAUGAUGAAGGCCCUAGGGUUGUAAAGUCCUUUCGGACGGGGAAGAUAAUGACGGUACCCGUAGAAGAACGCCCCGGCUAACUUCGUGCCAGCAGCCGC